UCAACAGGAUUAGUCUUCUUUUCUAUUAAUUGAAUUGACUUAAAUUAUAUGUGUGUGCAAUAUUUAUUAUUACUGGGAUGCUUCUACAACAGGUUUCAUUAAAGUGCGUAGCACUUAUCCAUUUGGCGUGGAUCCUAAAUGCCAUGGUACUGGGAGUGAACUGCCAUUUCUUAAUUCUUUGAAGAUGAAGAUGUCAAUUCUGCUGGGGGUAUCCCAGAUGAACCUUGGAAUCAUAACGAGUUACUUUAAUUCAAAAUACUUCAAAAACAACAUAAAUAUCUGGUACCAGUUCGUUCCCCAGAUAAUAUUCUUAAACAGCUUGUUUGGCUAUCUUUCACUCCUCAUAAUUAUAAAAUGGAGCACUGGGUCGCAGGCUGACCUGUAUCAUCUGAUGAUAUACACGUUCCUAAGCCCAACUGAUGAUUUGGGUGAAAACCAGCUUUUCGUUGGUCAAAAGCUCCUUCAAUUGUUGCUGUGCCAUGGAUGCUACUACCAAAGCCCUUUCUCCUGAAGAAGCAACAUCAAGAAAGGCAUCAAGGCCAAUCUUACGAUUUGCUCUACGGCACCGAUGACACUCUUGAAUCAGAAUCACAAAGUAUUGCCCAUGACCAUGACGAGUUUGACUUCAGCGAGAUUUUUGUGCACCAACUUAUACAUACAAUAGAAUUUGUGCUUGGAGCUGUUUCUAACACGGCAUCGUCUCUACGUUUGUGGGCCCUCAGUUGAAAGCGUUUGAUGCGACUCUCUGAAUUUUUGUUUUUGGUAAUGAAAACAAAAUUAACAUUGAUAUGGGCUUCCUGUUUCCCCCCUUCAAAUAGGUGAUGGCAUUGUUAGGAAUACAAUUUAGGCUUUUUGAUAAACUUGCAAUUCGUGGAUGGCAAGAACUUUGAAUAAGAUCCCGUGGGCUUUGAAAUCCUAUGAACUUGCAUUUUAAACACUUAUUUUUUAAGUAAUUACUAAUGAGAAGCAUUCAGUAUAUAGUUGAUGUUCCUCAAUAUUUUAGACACUUGUUAGCACAACCCUUUAUUAUAAAACCGUGCAUCUCUAAAUGCAUCAUACCCUUUCAUUUUGAUUCUUUCUUUGGUUUUUGGUCUUGUUCAGCCUAGCUCAUUCGGAGUUGUCCAGUGUUUUCUAUGACAAAGUUCUGCUUCUGGCCUGGGGGUAUAAUAACACUAUUGUUCUUAUUAUUGGCAUUUUUGUUUUUAUCUGUGCAACUGUUGGUGUGUUACUGUUAAUGGAAAGUCUAAGUGCUUUCUUACAUGCUUUGAGACUUCACUGGGUAGAGUACCGGAACAAAUUUUAUGAGGGAGAUGGUUACAAGUUCUUCCCGUUUUCAUUUGCAUUACUCACGGAUGAGGAUGAACUGUAAGCUGGAAAAUACCAGAUGACAUUUUACAUAGAAAUAUGUCAGUUUUACCUUGAGAACCUGCCAUGUAUUGUAACUACCCUACAUGUCAGCUAAAAUCAGGGCAAUGGAAUAUCCAUCUUUCCUGUUUGUAGGUCAUUACAUUUGUAAUUGAAACUAAAAAGGCCUGCAGUUUAAGAGAGGAAUGAAAGACAUUCAUUCCAUUGCCUGAUCAAGUCGGCAACCAUUUGAGGUGUUUCCCUAGUGCGGAAGGCAUGGCGUGUGCAUGCCCUGCACAAUCAAGUGCAUACUGUACAGUGUAAACUGUAAAGAGAUUUUGAAAAUAAAUUAUUUUAAAUUGUUUUGACU